rnacentral:rRNA from 1 species
GACGAACGCUGGCGGCGUGCCUAACACAUGCAAGUCGAGCGGGAAUUCAUAGACUGAUUUCUUCGGAAUGAUGAUUAUGAAGGAGAGCGGCGGACGGGUGAGUAACGCGUGAGUAACCUGCCUUCAGGAGGGGGACAACACUUCGAAAGGGGUGCUAAUACCGCAUAAUAUACAUUUAAGGCAUCUUAGAUGUAUCAAAGAUUUUAUCGCCUGAAGAUGGACUCGCGUCUGAUUAGCUAGUUGGUGGGGUAAAGGCCUACCAAGGCGACGAUCAGUAGCCGAACUGAGAGGUUGAUCGGCCACAUUGGGACUGAGACACGGCCCAGACUCCUACGGGAGGCAGCAGUGGGGGAUAUUGCGCAAUGGGGGCAACCCUGACGCAGCAACGCCGCGUGAAGGAAGAAGGUUUCGGAUUGUAAACUUCAACAAUCAGGGACGAAACAAAUGACGGUACCUGACUGAAGCCACGGGCUAACUACGUGCCAGCAGCC